rnacentral:misc_RNA from 1 species
ACUCGGCAAGCAGCAUCAUGCUGCCCAAAAUAAUAACCAUAAAGUAGACCCAAGUCCAAAUAAUUAAGUAAGCAAGUGACACUUUCAAAAAUCCAAUCUACAACAGAUUUACUAGAAAAGAAAAAAUAAUAGUAAACAUAAGUACACUAAGAGGAAUGGCGUCAAUAACUUGACAAAGACAAUGCUGAACUGAACCAAAGAAGAACAGGAACAUAUGACAAUAGGAAACAUGAUUUGUUGAGAUUUAACCAGAGGAUGAUACAUGACAGAUUUGCAUCAAAAUCACAAUAUUAGCAAGCUGUAACUGAGUUCAAACACCUGGUAUAAUGCAUGGCUUAGCUCUUGCCUUGCAGUAUGUAGUUGUUGCUCCAAAGCAAAAUUGGAUAGCAUCAGACCAUCCCAUUCAUUCUGGAAAAUUCCAAGCAUCCCUGGGAUGCUAGCAGUCUGUACAGUUCUCGGCUUCACAAUCUUGCCUGUUUUGACAAGAACAAUGUCAUCCAUUGUAAGUGGUUCCCCAGUAAUUGGGCAUUUUCCAUAAUCGGAUAUGUGCCUCUCGAUUAAACGCUUUUCAUAAAGAAGCCCAGAUUUCUUCGAGAGGACGGGCUCUUCCGGCACCUCGCCAGAGAUUGAGCAGUGCAUUGUGAAGAGAGUUAUGGUUUUCAGUGUUGGGAUACUAGCGUUCCAAAGUAGGAGCUAAUGAUUUGUGAAAUUAAGCAGCACUGGCAACAGCAGCAGCGGGAGGGAAGAGCCGAAGAGGGAAACGGGAAGAGAAAUUAGAAGCUGGUCAAUUUGACCGACCCAACUGGACCAUGAGAUCGGGUCCGCCCAUGGGCAUGGGCUUCGUUCUGGCCCACAUGACCCUUAGCAGAAUGGAAAUUGAUCCUACAACACGUAACAA